rnacentral:rRNA from 1 species
CCUACGGGAUGCAGCAGUGGGGAAUAUUGGACAAUGGGCGAAAGCCUGAUCCAGCCAUGCCGCGUGUGUGAAGAAGGCCUUCGGGUUGUAAAGCACUUUCAGUGGGGAAGAAAGCCUUGGGGCUAAUACCCUCGAGGAAGGACAUCACCCACAGAAGAAGCACCGGCUAACUCCGUGCCAGCAGCCGCGGUAAUACGGAGGGUGCGAGCGUUAAUCGGAAUUACUGGGCGUAAAGCGCGCGUAGGCGGUCUGAUAAGCCGGUUGUGAAAGCCCCGGGCUCAACCUGGGAACGGCAUCCGGAACUGUCAGGCUAGAGUGCAGGAGAGGAAGGUAGAAUUCCCGGUGUAGCGGUGAAAUGCGUAGAGAUCGGGAGGAAUACCAGUGGCGAAGGCGGCCUUCUGGACUGACACUGACGCUGAGGUGCGAAAGCGUGGGUAGCAAACAGGAUUAGAUACCCUUGUAGUC